rnacentral:rRNA from 1 species
CUUGCGCUUCUUCCCUGCUGAAAGAGGUUUACAACCCGAAGGCCGUCAUCCCUCACGCGGCGUCGCUGCAUCAGGCUUUCGCCCAUUGUGCAAUAUUCCCCACUGCUGCCUCCCGUAGGAGUCUGGGCCGUGUCUCAGUCCCAGUGUGGCCGGUCGCCCUCUCAGGCCGGCUACCCGUCGUCGCCUUGGUAGGCCAUUACCCCACCAACAAGCUGAUAGGCCGCGGGCUCAUCCUUCACCGCCGGAGCUUUCAACCCCGUUCCAUGCGGAACAGAGUAUUAUCCGGUAUUAGACCCCGUUUCCAGGGCUUGUCCCAGAGUGAAGGGCAGAUUGCCCACGUGUUACUCACCCGUUCGCCACUAAUCCACCACCGAAGCGGCUUCAUCGUUCGACUUGCAUGUGUUAAGCACGCCGCCAGCGUUCGUCCUGAGCCAGGAUCAAACUCUAAGGAGGUGAU